rnacentral:rRNA from 1 species
AACGAACGCUGGCGGCGCGUCUUAAACAUGCAAGUCGAACGGCAGGAAGGGGCUUGCCCCUUCUGAGAGUGGCGGACUGGUGAGUAACACGUGGGUGACAUACCUUUUAGUUGGGGAUAGCUAUUAGAAAUAGUAGGUAAUACCGAAUGUGACCGUACCUGUUAGAGGGGUACGAGGAAAGGAGCUAAGGCUUCGCUAAAAGAAUGGCUCGCGGCCCAUUAUGCUCGUUGGUGAGGUAACGGCCCACCAAGGCGAUGAUGGGUAUCCGGCCUGAGAGGGUGAACGGACACAUUGGGACUGAGAUACGGCCCAGACUUCUACGGGAGGCAGCAGUUAAGAAUAUUCCGCAAUGGACGAAAGUCUGACGGAGCGACGUCGCGUGGAUGAAGAAUGCCGAAAGGUUGUAAAAUCCUUUUAAGCCUGAUGAAUAAGCACAGUAGGGAAUGAUUGUGCGGUGACCGUAGGGCUUGAAUAAACACCGGCUAAUUACGUG